GCGAACGCUGGCGGCGUGCUUAACACAUGCCAGUCGAACGGAAAGGCCCCUUUGGGGGUACUCGAGUGGCGAACGGGUGAGUAACACGUGAGUAACCUGCCCUUGACUUCGGGAUAACUUCAGGAAACUGGGGCUAAUACCGGAUAGGAAUCCUUGCUGCAUGGUGGGGGUUGGAAAGCUUCGGCGGUUUUGGAUGGACUCGCGGCUUAUCAGCUUGUUGGUGGGGUAGUGGCUUACCAAGGCUUUGACGGGUAGCCGGCCUGAGAGGGCGACCGGCCACAUUGGGACUGAGAUACGGCCCAGACUCCUACGGGAGGCAGCAGUGGGGAAUAUUGCACAAUGGGCGGAAGCCUGAUGCAGCAACGCCGCGUGCGGGAUGACGGCCUUCGGGUUGUAAACCGCUUUCAGCAGGGGCGAAGCUUGUGGUGACGGUACCUGCAGAAGAAGCACCGGCUAACUACGUG
rnacentral:rRNA from 1 species